AUGCAAAGACACGUCAGUGUAAUUGUGGAUGGCGAGAGCCCUGAAAUACAGCAGGACAGCAGCGGUCUUCAUCACUGCCCCUUCUGCAGAUUCAAAGGGUCAAAAUGUGCUAUCGAAUAUCACAUUGAAUGCCAUGCCUCGGUUAAAUACAGAGAGUUCACGAUCAUAAAGUGCGGUUUAGAUUGCAGGAAGAAGACGCACUUUCAUUGUUAUAAUUGUGCAACAACAAUUAUAGACCGACAACAGAUAUUAAAGCACCUGGAAUCGCACAACACCCCAGAGGCCCCUCCAGUCACCCCAGUGGCCCCUCCAGAGAGACAUGUGGCCCCUCUAGUCACCCCAGUGGCCCCUCCAGUCACCCCAGUGGCCCCUCCAGUCACCCCAGUGGCCCCUCUAGUCACCCCAGUGGCCCCUCCAGUCACCCCAGUGGCCCCUCCAGUCACCCCAGUGGCCCCUCCAGUCACCCCAGUGGCCACUCCAGUCACCCCAGAGGCCCCUCCAGUCACCCCAGUGGCCCCUCCAGUCACCCCAGUUUUUAUUUUUAUAAACAUAAAUAUAAACCACUUCUCUUAA
rnacentral:lncRNA from 1 species